rnacentral:rRNA from 1 species
UACAGAGGUCUCGAGCGUUAGGCGGAAUCACUGGGCUUAAAGCGUGUGUAGGUGGAUCGUUAAGUACCUUGUGAAAUCCCACGGCUCAACCGUGGAACUGCUGGGCAUACUGCGGGUCUUGGGCCAACUAGGGGCAGCCGGAACAAGCGGUGGAGCGGUGAAAUGCGUAGAUAUCGCUUGGAACGCCGAAGGUGAAAACAGGCUGCUGGGGUUGCGCCGACGCUGAGACACGAAAGCCAGGGGAGCAAACGGG